rnacentral:rRNA from 1 species
UGGGGAAUAUUGGACAAUGGGCGCAAGCCUGAUCCAGCCAUGCCGCGUGAGUGAUGAAGGCCCUAGGGUUGUAAAGCUCUUUCACCGGUGAAGAUAAUGACGGUAACCGGAGAAGAAGCCCCGGCUAACUUCGUGCCAGCAGCCGCGGUAAUACGAAGGGGGCUAGCGUUGUUCGGAUUUACUGGGCGUAAAGCGCACGUAGGCGGACUUUUAAGUCAGGGGUGAAAUCCCGGGGCUCAACCCCGGAACUGCCUUUGAUACUGGAAGUCUUGAGUAUGGUAGAGGUGAGUGGAAUUCCGAGUGUAGAGGGGAAAUUCGUAGAUAUUCGGAGGAACACCAGGGGCGAAGGCGGCUCACUGGAACAUUACUGACGCUGAGGGGCGAAAGCGGGGGGAGGAAACAGG